UACAGAGGGUGCGAGCGUUAAUCGGAAUUACUGGGCGUAAAGCGCGCGUAGGCGGCUUUUCAAGUCGAUUGUGAAAUCCCCGGGCUUAACCUGGGAACUGCAGUCGAGACUGUCUAGCUAGAGUAUGGGAGAGGGAAGUGGAAUUCCAGGUGUAGCGGUGAAAUGCGUAGAUAUCUGAAGGAACAUCAGUGGCGAAAGCGACUUCCUGGACCAAUACUGACGCUCAUGUGCGAAAGCGUGGGGAGCAAACAGG
rnacentral:rRNA from 1 species